UUAAGCGACUAAGCGUACACGGUGGAUGCCCUGGCAGUCAGAGGCGAUGAAGGACGUGCUAAUCUGCGAAAAGCGUCGGUAAGGUGAUAUGAACCGUUACAGCCGGCGAUGUCCGAAUGGGGAAACCCAGUGCAAUUCGUUGCACUAUCGUUAACUGAAUACAUAGGUUAACGAGGCGAACCGGGGGAACUGAAACAUCUAAGUACCCCGAGGAAAAGAAAUCAACCGAGAUUCCCCCAGUAGCGGCGAGCGAACGGGGAGCAGCCCGGAGUCUGAAUCAGCUUGUGUGUUAGUGGAAGCGUCUGGAAAGUCGCAGGGUACAGGGUGAUACUCCCGUACACUAAAACACACAGGCUGUGAACUCGAAGAGUAGGGCGGGACACGUGGUAUCCUGUCUGAAUAUGGGGGGACCAUCCUCCAAGGCUAAAUACUCCUGACUGACCGAUAGUGAACCAGUACCGUGAGGGAAAGGCGAAAAGAACCCCGGCGAGGGGAGUGAAAAAGAACCUGAAACCGUGUACGUACAAGCAGUAGGAGCCCACUAGUUGGGUGACUGCGUACCUUUUGUAUAAUGGGUCAGCGACUUAUAUUCUGUAGCAAGGUUAACCGUAUAGGGGAGCCGCAGGGAAACCGAGUCUUAACUGGGCGUUAAGUUGCAGGGUAUAGACCCGAAACCCGGUGAUCUAGCCAUGGGCAGGUUGAAGGUUGGGUAACACUAACUGGAGGACCGAACCGACUAAUGUUGAAAAAUUAGCGGAUGACUUGUGGCUGGGGGUGAAAGGCCAAUCAAACCGGGAGAUAGCUGGUUCUCCCCGAAAGCUAUUUAGGUAGCGCCUCGUGAAUUCAUCUUCGGGGGUAGAGCACUGUUUCGGCUAGGGGGUCAUCCCGACUUACCAACCCGAUGCAAACUACGAAUACCGAAGAAUGUUAUCACGGGAGACACACGGCGGGUGCUAACGUCCGUCGUGAAGAGGGAAACAACCCAGACCGCCAGCUAAGGUCCCAAAGUCAUGGUUAAGUGGGAAACGAUGUGGGAAGGCCCAGACAGCCAGGAUGUUGGCUUAGAAGCAGCCAUCAUUUAAAGAAAGCGUAAUAGCUCACUGGUCGAGUCGGCCUGCGCGGAAGAUGUAACGGGGCUAAACCAUGCACCGAAGCUGCGGCAGCGACACUAUGUGUUGUUGGGUAGGGGAGCGUUCUGUAAGCCGUUGAAGGUGGCCUGUGAGGGUUGCUGGAGGUAUCAGAAGUGCGAAUGCUGACAUAAGUAACGAUAAUGCGGGUGAAAAACCCGCACGCCGGAAGACCAAGGGUUCCUGUCCAACGUUAAUCGGGGCAGGGUGAGUCGACCCCUAAGGCGAGGCCGAAAGGCGUAGUCGAUGGGAAACAGGUUAAUAUUCCUGUACUUGGUGUUACUGCGAAGGGGGGACGGAGAAGGCUAUGUUGGCCGGGCGACGGUUGUCCCGGUUUAAGCAUGUAGGCGGAUGUUCCAGGUAAAUCCGGAACGUUAUUAACGCUGAGGUGUGAUGACGAGGCACUACGGUGCUGAAGUGACAAAUGCCCUGCUUCCAGGAAAAGCCUCUAAGCAUCAGGUAACAUCAAAUCGUACCCCAAACCGACACAGGUGGUCAGGUAGAGAAUACCAAGGCGCUUGAGAGAACUCGGGUGAAGGAACUAGGCAAAAUGGUGCCGUAACUUCGGGAGAAGGCACGCUGAUGGUAGGUGAAGUGACUUGCUCAUGGAGCUGAAAUCAGUCGAAGAUACCAGCUGGCUGCAACUGUUUAUUAAAAACACAGCACUGUGCAAACACGAAAGUGGACGUAUACGGUGUGACGCCUGCCCGGUGCCGGAAGGUUAAUUGAUGGGGUUAUCCUCACGGAGAAGCUCUUGAUCGAAGCCCCGGUAAACGGCGGCCGUAACUAUAACGGUCCUAAGGUAGCGAAAUUCCUUGUCGGGUAAGUUCCGACCUGCACGAAUGGCGUAAUGAUGGCCAGGCUGUCUCCACCCGAGACUCAGUGAAAUUGAACUCGCUGUGAAGAUGCAGUGUACCCGCGGCAAGACGGAAAGACCCCGUGAACCUUUACUAUAGCUUGACACUGAACACUGGUCCUUGAUGUGUAGGAUAGGUGGGAGGCUUUGAAGUGUGGACGCCAGUCUGCAUGGAGCCGUCCUUGAAAUACCACCCUUUAAUGGCUGGUGUUCUAACGUGGGCCCCUAAUCGGGGUUGCGGACAGUGUCUGGUGGGUAGUUUGACUGGGGCGGUCUCCUCCUAAAGAGUAACGGAGGAGCACGAAGGUCAGCUAAUCCUGGUCGGACAUCAGGAGGUUAGUGCAAUGGCAUAAGCUGGCUUGACUGCGAGCGUGACGGCGCGAGCAGGUGCGAAAGCAGGUCAUAGUGAUCCGGUGGUUCUGAAUGGAAGGGCCAUCGCUCAACGGAUAAAAGGUACUCCGGGGAUAACAGGCUGAUACCGCCCAAGAGUUCAUAUCGACGGCGGUGUUUGGCACCUCGAUGUCGGCUCAUCACAUCCUGGGGCUGAAGUAGGUCCCAAGGGUAUGGCUGUUCGCCAUUUAAAGUGGUACGCGAGCUGGGUUUAGAACGUCGUGAGACAGUUCGGUCCCUAUCUGCCGUGGGCGCUGGAGAAUUGAGGGGGGCUGCUCCUAGUACGAGAGGACCGGAGUGGACGCAUCACUGGUGUUCGGGUUGUCAUGCCAAUGGCAUUGCCCGGUAGCUAAAUGCGGAAGAGAUAAGUGCUGAAAGCAUCUAAGCACGAAACUUGCCCCGAGAUGAGUUCUCCCUGACUCCUUGAGAGUCCUGAAGGAACGUUGAAGACGACGACGUUGAUAGGCCGGGUGUGUAAGCGCAGCGAUGCGUUGAGCUAACCGGUACUAAUGAACCGUGAGGCUUAACCUU
rnacentral:rRNA from 1 species